GCAGUGUAGAGCGCGGCGCGGGCGAUCGGGGCGCCCCCACGAGAGCCCCCCGACGCUGGCCGGGGGCCGUGCGUGCCUGGGGCGCCGCGCUCUCGCCUCUCGCCCGCGUGGGGGGCUUGCGGACCCCACAGCGGGAGCGACCGGGCCCGGCCUGCCUCCCCCGCGCCCGCGGCCGCUUCUCCCCCUGGCGGCAGGAUCCUGGGCGGCCGGUGGCUCCGAGAGCGCGCAGUGGAGCCCGAGCUGAGCCGAGCCCGAGCCACCGCAGCCGCCACAUCCCUGAGCGCCGCCCGGGUGCAGGGUCGCUGCGGGAGAGCGACCCCGCGGCCGCCAGGUUUUGCUCUAGAAACCUUCAUCUCUGCAUCCUGGGAGUGGGUAGCUCUGGGUAGCAAAAGCAGCUCCAUGUGCAGAAAGCAGAUCUGUGCAAGGAGAAGUAAGCCCUCAUCUCUCUGAAAAUGGGCCCUUGUUGAUAGCUGACCCUGUGCCAAGCUCUCCAUACCCAAGUCCUGCUGGGAGAAAGCUGGUCUCCCAGGAGUGCUGACACACAGGCUUACAAGAGGGACAAGCCACAGUCAGAGACAGCAAGACAAGCUAACACAACAGAUGACCAGAUGGGACAAAGAGUGGAGCAGAGACUGAAGGAAAGGUCAUCCAGAGACUGCCCCAAUUGGGGAUCCAUCCACAUGCAGACACCAAACCCAGACACUAUUGCUGAUGCCAAGAAGUGCUUGCUGACAGAAGCCUGAUACAGCCGUCUCCUGAGUGGCUUUGAUAGAUCCUGACCAAUAUAGAUGUGGAGGUUUGCAAACAACCAUCAGAAUGAGCACAGGGACCCCAAUGGUAUGGUGUAUAGUUAGGGGAAGGACUGAAGGAGCUGAAGGGGCCUUAUCUGGCAUCAAUGGGAGGGGAGGUCCUUGGUCCUGUGAAGGCUUGAUGCCCCAGUGUAGAGGAGUGCUAGGGCGCUGAGGUGGGAGUGGGUAGGAGGGUGGGUGGGGAGCACCCUCAUAGAAGCAGAGUAGUGGGGGAGUGGGUAGGGGGUUUGCAGAGGAGAAACUGGGAAAGGGGAUAACAGUUGAAAUGUAAACAAAUAAAAUAUCCAAUUAAAAAAUAAAAAUAAAAAAUAAAAAAA